rnacentral:rRNA from 1 species
CAUCCUCCAAGGCUAAAUACUCCUGACUGACCGAUAGUGAACCAGUACCGUGAGGGAAAGGCGAAAAGAACCCCGGCGAGGGGAGUGAAAAAGAACCUGAAACCGUGUACGUACAAGCAGUGGGAGCACGCUUAGGCGUGUGACUGCGUACCUUUUGUAUAAUGGGUCAGCGACUUAUAUUCUGUAGCAAGGUUAACCGAAUAGGGGAGCCGAAGGGAAACCGAGUCUUAACUGGGCGUUAAGUUGCAGGGUAUAGACCCGAAACCCGGUGAUCUAGCCAUGGGCAGGUUGAAGGUUGGGUAACACUAACUGGAGGACCGAACCGACUAAUGUUGAAAAAUUAGCGGAUGACUUGUGGCUGGGGGUGAAAGGCCAAUCAAACCGGGAGAUAGCUGGUUCUCCCCGAAAGCUAUUUAGGUAGCGCCUCGUGAAUUCAUCUCCGGGGGUAGAGCACUGUUUCGGCAAGGGGGUCAUCCCGACUUACCAACCCGAUGCAAACUGCGAAUACCGGAGAAUGUUAUCACGGGAGACACACGGCGGGUGCUAACGUCCGUCGUGAAGAGGGAAACAACCCAGACCGCCAGCUAAGGUCCCAAAGUCAUGGUUAAGUGGGAAACGAUGUGGGAAGGCCCAGACAGCCAGGAUGUUGGCUUAGAAGCAGCCAUCAUUUAAAGAAAGCGUAAUAGCUCACUGGUCGAGUCGGCCUGCGCGGAAGAUGUAACGGGGCUAAACCAUGCACCGAAGCUGCGGCAGCGACGCUGAUGCGUUGUUGGGUAGGGGAGCGUUCUGUAAGCCUGCGAAGGUGUGCUGUGAGGCAUGCUGGAGGUAUCAGAAGUGCGAAUGCUGACAUAAGUAACGAUAAAGCGGGUGAAAAGCCCGCUCGCCGGAAGACCAAGGGUUCCUGUCCAACGUUAAUCGGGGCAGGGUGAGUCGACCCCUAAGGCGAGGCCGAAAGGCGUAGUCGAUGGGAAACAGGUUAAUAUUCCUGUACUUGGUGUUACUGCGAAGGGGGGACGGAGAAGGCUAUGUUGGCCGGGCGACGGUUGUCCCGGUUUAAGCGUGUAGGCUGGUUUUCCAGGCAAAUCCGGAAAAUCAAGGCUGAGGCGUGAUGACGAGGCACUACGGUGCUGAAGCAACAAAUGCCCUGCUUCCAGGAAAAGCCUCUAAGCAUCAGGUAACAUCAAAUCGUACCCCAAACCGACACAGGUGGUCAGGUAGAGAAUACCAAGGCGCUUGAGAGAACUCGGGUGAAGGAACUAGGCAAAAUGGUGCCGUAACUUCGGGAGAAGGCACGCUGAUAUGUAGGUGAAGUCCCUCGCGGAUGGAGCUGAAAUCAGUCGAAGAUACCAGCUGGCUGCAACUGUUUAUUAAAAACACAGCACUGUGCAAACACGAAAGUGGACGUAUACGGUGUGACGCCUGCCCGGUGCCGGAAGGUUAAUUGAUGGGGUUAGCGCAAGCGAAGCUCUUGAUCGAAGCCCCGGUAAACGGCGGCCGUAACUAUAACGGUCCUAAGGUAGCGAAAUUCCUUGUCGGGUAAGUUCCGACCUGCACGAAUGGCGUAAUGAUGGCCAGGCUGUCUCCACCCGAGACUCAGUGAAAUUGAACUCGCUGUGAAGAUGCAGUGUACCCGCGGCAAGACGGAAAGACCCCGUGAACCUUUACUAUAGCUUGACACUGAACAUUGAGCCUUGAUGUGUAGGAUAGGUGGGAGGCUUUGAAGUGUGGACGCCAGUCUGCAUGGAGCCGACCUUGAAAUACCACCCUUUAAUGUUUGAUGUUCUAACGUGGACCCGUAAUCCGGGUUGCGGACAGUGUCUGGUGGGUAGUUUGACUGGGGCGGUCUCCUCCUAAAGAGUAACGGAGGAGCACGAAGGUUGGCUAAUCCUGGUCGGACAUCAGGAGGUUAGUGCAAUGGCAUAAGCCAGCUUGACUGCGAGCGUGACGGCGCGAGCAGGUGCGAAAGCAGGUCAUAGUGAUCCGGUGGUUCUGAAUGGAAGGGCCAUCGCUCAACGGAUAAAAGGUACUCCGGGGAUAACAGGCUGAUACCGCCCAAGAGUUCAUAUCGACGGCGGUGUUUGGCACCUCGAUGUCGGCUCAUCACAUCCUGGGGCUGAAGUAGGUCCCAAGGGUAUGGCUGUUCGCCAUUUAAAGUGGUACGCGAGCUGGGUUUAGAACGUCGUGAGACAGUUCGGUCCCUAUCUGCCGUGGGCGCUGGAGAACUGAGGGGGGCUGCUCCUAGUACGAGAGGACCGGAGUGGACGCAUCACUGGUGUUCGGGUUGUCAUGCCAAUGGCACUGCCCGGUAGCUAAAUGCGGAAGAGAUAAGUGCUGAAAGCAUCUAAGCACGAAACUUGCCCCGAGAUGAGUUCUCCCUGACUCCUUGA